UUGUAGUAGAUGUUUGGUAAUGUUAUGUCGGCGGUUAGUUACGACAAAACUGAGUAAGAGGAUCAAGCAACUGUCUCGGACCCGUAUCACAUUUUCCUAUGACCGGGAUCUCGAAGUUCUGCGGCCGUUUAACAAGUUUCUGGUCAAAAUAAACUUCCCUGCUGAUCUUGCCAACAUCUUCCCUGCCCAGCUCAAAGAUCUUCUUCAACACAAACACGGCCUAGCCAACGCUGCCCUCAUAAAUUACGAAGAAUCAGUGGGUUACGUUAACUUUGUUAACGAAGAAUCCAAAGUUGACGCUGUCAACUCAAAAACAGACGAUACAUUUCCAUUCCAAUACUCAGUUGAAGACUAUGAUCAUGUCAAACAUAUGAGAGGUGGGCGAGGAGAUCAGCCUCCAUUUGCAGGUACAAUCGGAGCUGCAUACCGUCCGAGUGUACAUCCUAUUGGAAGUAUGAUGAUGCGAUUCCUCCAAUACGGUCAUAUUACCGGAACUCAAAUAAUUCCCUGUCCCUACGAUUCAGAUCGAGCGUUUUUCUACUGUAAUUAUUACCGUUUUAAAGAAAGUGAUGCUGCCAGUGAAGCCUUGUCAACAAUCCCGGGACACGCUAUUUCACAGCAUUCAGAUGCUGAGGAUGUGCUAGUGUGGCGGAACAUGGACGAAGAUGUCCGCAGUUACGGACAACGCGUUAAUGUGCAAUGUCAUCACGAGUUCUCGGACGAUUUACUGGCCGAGAUUCUGGAAUAUCUGAAACAUUACGGUGAAAUUGAGAGUAUACACCUAAAGGUGCCGUCCGAACUGAACGUCAAGUUCAAGUAUUCCCGAUCAGUUUUCCAAAUGUUCUAUGAUAUAACGUGGUAUGGUAGAAUUAAAAAGACUCUCGAAAAAUCCGGGACAGAGAUAGCCGUAAAGGUUGAUAGUGUUUCCCACAAGAUAAAACAGGCACACUCCAUAAAAUUCACCUCAGUUCCCAAACACGUAGCAGACGCUCACACGUACAUAUCAAACCUCCUAGACCUAGCUGUAUGUAACCCUGGUGUACUCACCACAAGUCAUAACGAUAAGACUAAAAUAGCGUGGGUUACAAUGCCCCAUCCAUGGUACGUACGGGACGUCAGUUGUAAGGUUCAUCAGUUUCUCAGUUCGGGAGAUGCCCCUAAAGAGUAUGCAGGGUUAGGAGUUGUGGUGAGGAGUCCGUUUUGGCAGAGCGAGUAUAUGGAUAGGGUAGAUGAGGACUUACAGAAAGAAAAGAGAAAGAAAAAUGAGACUGCUAGUUGACGGUGAUGUGGGUUUUUAAAUGUGGGGUCUAGGUGUUUGGGACCGUUGAUGAUAGGUCUUUACUCUUUAUGUCAAUGGUUAUUAAUUUUAUUGAUAAACUCUGAUAUUGACCUUAUUAUUUAUCGGCAUCUAUGGUAUUCAUUUAAUUUAUUCCCACGAACAAGCUUGUAUAAUAAUUUGAUGUUUAUGUUUCUACUGCGCAGAUUAUCUUGCAUCUUGGCAUAUUUGCAUUCGCUCCUUAUAUGCCUGAAUUUGCAUCGAGCACUGUAUUCAAUUUUACCAGGUAACUUGGCUAUUUAUAAUUUUGCAAAUUGGAGAUUUUAAAGUUUACAGUUUUGGCAGGCAAAUUUUUAUAAAUUAUCGUAUUCCUAUUGUAUUUCUUUAUCAGCUAAACACAGGAUAUAAAAUACUCGCACCCGUUUGGAAUGCAAUAACCAAAAUCAAAAUUAUUCCCUCGGAAGUUUAUUUUACAUAUUAUUAUAAUCAAUACUUAAAUUUAUUGCAAAGUAUGAAUCUUGAUCUAACCAUUUACCUCAGGAAUAUAAGUCUGGCCUGUAUCUUGACUAACCUCUUAACCAUGUCUCGUUGUAACAGAAGAAUACUACAGCGGUCACCUUCUUUAUGUAGCAUACGAAGACUGUCCUCAGCUGCAAAUACAAAUACCAAGAUUUUUUACAACGACGAUCUAGACGUGUUCAGACCGUUCAACAACAUUGUAAAACUUAAGUUCGACUCUUCCACUUCGUCACUCAAUUCUGAAACCGGAUACAUGGAUCAAUCUCCUAAAUUGAUCUCUGAACGACUAUCAACAUACGGUUCUGUCAAUGGUCAGUUCAUUUGUGAUCGUGGCAAAACAGGCUACUUUAACUUCGCCAGCCGUGCAGCAAAAGAAGACGCACUAAAAGCGUCGCCACGAGACACCAUGUCUUUCUACGAAAUGGAAGACUACACAGUGGGACAGAGUCGUGACAAACACGAACUACGGCCCUUCAGAUACGUGGUGUGCGCGGCAUAUCGGCCCAGCAUCCACUCAACCAGCAGAAUCAUCAGAUAUCUGGACAAGUUUGGGACAAAUGCCGGCAGAGAGCUGGUCCACUGUCCGUACGAUCCGGACAGGUUGUUCAUGUAUCUUGCUUACACUGAUAAGAGAGUGCUGUCAGACCCGGGUAUGAGUGGUAGGAACAGCAACAUCAAGGGGGGCGAUGUGGCCCGGGAUUAUCAGGAGAUGGGGUCUGGUGUACUUUGUAACGAUGUGUUCUUGUUUCCGUUUACUGGCCAUAAAGUUAGAAUGUAUCGGACUAACGUGGAUGUUUUGACACGUGGUGUCAGUUUGUCUGUACUCAGGGAAUAUUUGUCUGAAAAGUACGGUGAUGUUAGUAGAGUUAAGAAUGUUCGGGAGUGCGGGGAAGGGAUACAUUACGAUGUUUCAUUCAAAGAUAAGUACUUUGCAUACAGGAUUCUGUAUCAGAAAACUCAUUAUGGCCGAAUUAUCGAAACUAUACCAAGUACAUCAGAUCAGAUUUAUAUCAGCCAACCACAAGCUCAUAAAGAAGUAUGGAUGCAACAUUCUUUGAGACUUUAUCAAGUUCCUGAGAUUCCUGAUGAACAUGUUUUUAGUUAUCUUGACGAUUUCUUGGACCGCUUGGGUUGCAAUCCAGGGUAUUGUGGCUGUGGCCCGUAAGCAGGGUGCAAAAUCGAUCUUCUAUGAGCUGUAUUUCGCUAAUCCUUGGCACACUUUUGAUGUGUACCAUCGUAUCAUGCAGUCAAAAGUGAAUGGUUUUGAUCAUGGAUUUUUUUGCAGUGUUAAUAAAGGUUGGAAUGAUGGAAAGAAUUUUUAUGAGGAUGUUAAAGAAUACUUAGUUUGAAUUACUUCCGCUUUGACACAAAACGAUGAAUUAUGUUUUGUUUAUCUUGUGUUUUAGAAUAUUUAAAAGAAUCGUUAACUCAGCUAUGAAAAUAUUCUAAAAUAAUUCAACGAUUAAUUCAACUCAAGAUAUAACUUUAAAUUAUUAAACUCUUAAAUUAUUUUAAUCACUGCUUAAAUAAAACAGCUCUGCAGAUGAUUUAAAGUCCUCCCCUCAUAAACUCCAUCUACAAAAAAAAGCUGGUUGGUAACUGAAUGGCUCUGUAUGGCUCUCACCUUACGUCUCACUGAACGAACUGUGUUCCCUAGUUACUGUUGCAAGCGCUUCCUCAGACGCCAGUUCUUCUACAAUGAUGAUCUGAAAAUAUUCCGGCCAUUCAACAAUACUGUCGAGGUGAAAUUAAAGAACUCCGCCGCUCUGAGCACUUCAGAAGAUGUUGAACAAACAUCCGACUUCAUUAACAAACAGCUAUCAACUUGUGGUUCUGUCAAUGGACACUGUAUUCUCAGGGAACGUAAAACUGGUUAUUUCAAUUUUUCUAGUCCUCAUGAAAAAGUGGAAGCUCUAAAAACGUUCAGAAAAGGUGAUCAAUCCCUACCUUUUUCAGAGAUACGAAACUUUGAAUUCGGCCGUUAUAAUUAUCACCGUUAUCAUAGACCCUUUAGGUAUUUAAUGAUUGCAGCCUACCGGCCUAGCAUCCACUCAUCUUGUAGAAUACUCAAAUAUUUAGAACAAUUUGGAAUUAGCAAUGGCAGGGAAGUCGCCCACUGUCCAUACGAUGAAGACAGACGAUUCUUGUACUUUUCAUAUCGUCAGAGAAGUAGCCUGACUCAUCCAAGCAUUUCUCAUAGAAACUGUUUCAUUAAGGGCAGUGAAGUUUGUAAGAAGAUAUAAGGUUGGAAACAGAUGAAACAAGUAAUGAUGUGUACCUUUAUCCUUUUACUGAACAUGAUGAGAGUAGAUACAAGAAAAUGAUACUUGUCCGUGCGGAAAAUACUCGUUUUACCGGUCGAGUUAAAAACUAUUUUGAUCUCAAGUAUGAUAAAAUGGUGGAGACGGUAGAGAAGAUCGGCAGCGAUGACCACGGUCUCAGAUUCUGGUCACAUUCCGUGACAGUUACCCCGUUUACAGAAUGUUUUACCCUAAAACUCCAUUCGGCCAAGUUUGUGAAACUUUUCCAGAUACUCCCGAUCAGCUCUAUAUCACCACACCAAACCUACCUAAAAGCAUAUGGAAGCACAACUACCUGCGUUUAUUCAACGUUCCUCCUAUCACCGAGGGAGAAGAUGUUCUAGAGUUUUUCAAUGACUUUCUGGACAGAAACAAAUGUAAUCCGGGGAUUGUUGCCGUGUCUCAAUCCGCUGCAUCGUACUUUUCCCUGAAUCUCCGGAACAGAAUCCGGGAUAGUCCGGAAAUGCUUAACUCAAAACAGCUGACUGACACAUAUUAUGAAAUUUAUUUCGCUAAUCCUUGGCACGCUGUGGAUGUGUGCCAGCGACUCAUACUGUUGAAGGAAGAUGGUGGACACGAUUUUCACUGUGCUGUUGAUUUUUCUUUGUAUAGUUCUGUUAAGAAGUAUUUGAAUGUGUAGGGGCAAUGAAUUUAGUGGUAGGAAAGGGAGCAAGUGGAGUUUUAUAGUGACCCUAAUGGUGGAUCCCUUGUUUUCUUUUGUGCGAUCUGUUUUUAAUUCAAAUUAUAUUUAAUUUUUGAUGUUUGUAUCUUGUUGUAGGUAAUUUAUUUUUACUAUUAGUUCAGAUGUAUCC